rnacentral:rRNA from 1 species
AUGAGGCCGCGGCGGCACUCGUACGGCAGGGGCGGCAGGAGCGCGGCGGCGGCGGUGCUGCUGGUGCUCUGCCUCUGCGUCACCGGCGUCUUCCUCCUGCUCCUGCACGGCUCCUCCCCGCCGCUGGACACGGAGGGAGGGAAGGAGCAGGCGGCCGCGGCGGGAGGAGGAGGGGGGAGGCACGAGGGGCCGGUGGUCCUGGCCGAGGUGGAGGAGGCGCCGCUGCCGCCGGGGAACGCCAGGGUCGCCUUCCUCUUCAUCGCCCGCAACCGCCUCCCGCUCGACCUCGUCUGGGACGCAUUCUUCCGUGGCGACAAUGAGGGGAGGUUCUCCAUCUUCGUGCACUCGCGGCCAGGCUUCGUGCUCACCCGCGCCACCACCCGCUCCCGCUUCUUUUACAACCGGCAGGUCAACAACAGCGUCCAGGUGGAUUGGGGGGAGGCGAGCAUGAUCGAGGCCGAGCGCAUCCUUCUCAGCCAUGCACUCAAGGAUCCCUUCAAUGAGCGCUUCGUUUUUGUGUCCGACAGCUGUGUACCAUUGUACAAUUUCAACUACACUUAUGACUACAUAAUGUCUGCAUCAACCAGCUUUGUGGACAGUUUCGCCGAUACAAAACAGGGCAGGUACAAUCCACGAAUGGACCCAAUCAUCCCGGUGGAGAAUUGGAGAAAAGGCUCGCAGUGGGCUGUGCUGAUUAAAAAGCAUGCUGAAGUUGUGGUUUAUGAUGAUGUGGUGUUGCCAGAAUUCAAGAAGCAUUGCAGGAGAAGGCCCUUACCAGAGUUCUGGCGGGACUGGGAUAAACCUAUUCCUGCUGAGGCAUGGAAGGCACAUAACUGCAUACCAGAUGAGCACUAUGUUCAAACAUUGCUUGCACAAAAUGGGCUUGAAGAAGAGCUUACCCGGAGAUCAGUUACACAUAGCGCAUGGGAUCUAUCAUCUUCUAAAGAUCGUGAAAGGCGUGGAUGGCAUCCUGUAACAUACAAAGUCUCUGAUGCUACACCCGCACUUAUAAAAUCCAUUAAGGAUAUUGAUAAUAUAUAUUAUGAGACCGAAUAUAGAAGAGAGUGGUGCACAAGUAAUGAGAGACCAGCACCUUGCUUCCUCUUUGCAAGGAAGUUUACACGCGGAGCCGGUCUGAAGCUUCUUAACUCAUCAUUUAUAGCAGUAAGAUGA